rnacentral:rRNA from 1 species
CCAGAGGAAGGCUCGUCCGCUCUGGGUUAGUCGGGUCCUAAGCUGAGGCCGACAGGCGUAGGCGAUGGAUAACAGGUUGAUAUUCCUGUACCACCUAUAAUCGUUUUAAUCGAUGGGGGGACGCAGUAGGAUAGGCGAAGCGUGCGAUUGGAUUGCACGUCUAAGCAGUAAGGCUGAGUAUUAGGCAAAUCCGGUACUCGUUAAGGCUGAGCUGUGAUGGGGAGAAGACAUUGUGUCUUCGAGUCGUUGAUUUCACACUGCCGAGAAAAGCCUCUAGAUAGAAAAUAGGUGCCCGUACCGCAAACCGACACAGGUAGUCAAGAUGAGAAUUCUAAGGUGAGCGAGCGAACUCUCGUUAAGGAACUCGGCAAAAUGACCCCGUAACUUCGGGAGAAGGGGUGCUCUUUAGGGUUAACGCCCAGAAGAGCCGCAGUGAAUAGGCCCAAGCGACUGUUUAUCAAAAACACAGGUCUCUGCUAAACCGUAAGGUGAUGUAUAGGGGCUGACGCCUGCCCGGUGCUGGAAGGUUAAGAGGAGUGGUUAGCUUCUGCGAAGCUACGAAUCGAAGCCCCAGUAAACGGCGGCCGUAACUAUAACGGUCCUAAGGUAGCGAAAUUCCUUGUCGGGUAAGUUCCGACCCGCACGAAAGGCGU